rnacentral:rRNA from 1 species
CCUACGGGAGACUGCAGUGAGGAAUAUUGGUCAAUGGUCGGGAGACUGAACCAGCCAAGCCGCGUGAGGGAGGACGGUACAGAGUAUUGUAAACCUCUUUUGUCAGGGAACAAAGACUGGGACGCGUCCCCGGAUGAGAGUACCUGAAGAAUAAGCAUCGGCUAACUCCGUGCCAGCAGCCGCGGUAAUACGGAGGAUGCGAUCGUUAUCCGGAUUUAUUGGGUUUAAAGGGUGCGCAGGCGGUUUGGUAAGUCAGCGGUGAAAUGCCCGGGCUUAACCCCGGGACGGCCGUUGAACCUGGCAGUCUCGAGUUGGAGAGAGGUAUGCGGAAUGCACGGUGUAGCGGUGAAAUGCAUAGAUAUCGCGCAGAACUCCGAUUGCGAAGGCAGCAUGCCGGCUCCACACUGACGCUGAGGCACGAAAGCGUGGGUAUCGAACAGGAUUAGAUACCCGUGUAGUC